rnacentral:rRNA from 1 species
GAUGAACGCUAGCGAUAGGCCUAACACAUGCAAGUCGAGGGGCAGCAAAGGGUAGCAAUACUCUGUUGGCGACCGGCGCACGGGUGAGUAACGCGUAUGCAACCUACCUACUACAGGGGAAUAACCCGGAGAAAUUCGGACUAAUACCGCAUAAUACAGGGGUCCCGCAUGGGAAUAUUUGUUAAAGAUUUAUCGGUAGUAGAUGGGCAUGCGUUCCAUUAGCCAGUUGGUGAGGUAACGGCUCACCAAAGCAACGAUGGAUAGGGGAACUGAGAGGUUUAUCCCCCACACUGGAACUGAGACACGGACCAGACUCCUACGGGAGGCAGCAGUGAGGAAUAUUGGUCAAUGGACGAGAGUCUGAACCAGCCAAAUCGCGUGAAGGAAGACUGCCUUAUGGGUUGUAAACUUCUUUUAUACAGGAAUAAAAAGAGUUACGUGUAACUUAUUGCAUGUACUGUAUGAAUAAGCAUCGGCUAACUCCGUGCCAGCAGCCGCGGUAAUACGGAGGAUGCGAGCGUUAUCCGGAUUUAUUGGGUUUAAAGGGUGCGCAGGCGGGAUCUUAAGUCAGCGGUGAAAUUUUCAGGCUCAACCUGAACACUGCCGUUGAAACUGGGAUUCUUGAGUAUAGAUGAAGUAGGCGGAAUUCGUUGUGUAGCGGUGACAUGCUUAGAUAUAACGAGGAACUCCAAUUGCGUAGGCAGCUUACUAAGCUAUAACUGACGCUCAAGCACGAAAGCGUGGGGAUCAAACAGG